rnacentral:lncRNA from 1 species
UUGGUUCUUUUGUUAUUUCUUGAUCGUAUAGUUUCUAUUUGGUUGGCUUCAAUCCUUAGAGGUAAGGUUCCAUCAUCUUCUACUCGAUUUUGUUGUUGAAAUUAUUUGUUGGAUAUUUGGGGAUUUCAAAAUUUCGAUAGUGUGGUGCAAAAUUUUUAUUUUGUGUUAUCUAAUUAAUCCGAUAUGUUUUAGGAGAAGAUCGAGACGUGUUUGGUGUCCCUCCA